rnacentral:rRNA from 1 species
UACGUAGGUGGCAAGCGUUGUCCGGAUUUACUGGGCGUAAAGAGCGCGCAGGCGGUCGUUCAAGUCGCGUGUGAAAGCCCCCGGCUCAACUGGGGAGGGUCACGCGAUACUGAUCGACUCGAAGGCAGGAGAGGGUAGUGGAAUUCCCGGUGUAGUGGUGAAAUGCGUAGAUAUCGGGAGGAACACCAGUGGCGAAGGCGGUCUGCUGGGCAGUAGCUGACACUGAUGCGCGACAGCGUGGGGAGCAAACAGG